rnacentral:rRNA from 1 species
AUACGCAUCCUUUGCUGAGGAGACGGUUAACGGAGCGAAAGCGACGUUCAACCUCAAAAGAAGCAGAGGGGGCUUAGUGGUGGGGUGACUGCGUACCUUUUGUAUAAUGGGUCAGCGACUUAUAUUCUGUAGCAAGGUUAACUGUAUAGGGGAGCCGGAGGGAAACCGAGUCUUAACCGGGCGUUAAGUUGCAGGGUAUAGACCCGAAACCCGGUGAUCUAGCCAUGGGCAGGUUGAAGGUUGGGUAACACUAACUGGAGGACCGAACCGACUAAUGUUGAAAAAUUAGCGGAUGACCUGUGGCUGGGGGUGAAAGGCCAAUCAAACCGGGAGAUAGCUGGUUCUCCCCGAAAGCUAUUUAGGUAGCGCCUCGUGAAUUCAUCUCCGGGGGUAGAGCACUGUUUCGGCUAGGGGGCCAUCCCGGCUUACCAACCCGAUGCAAACUGCGAAUACCGGAGAAUGUUAUCACGGGAGACACACGGCGGGUGCUAAUGUCCGUCGUGAAGAGGGAAACAACCCAGACCGCCAGCUAAGGUCCCAAAGUCAUGGUUAAGUGGGAAACGAUGUGGGAAGGCCCAGACAGCCAGGAUGUUGGCUUAGAAGCAGCCAUCAUUUAAAGAAAGCGUAAUAGCUCACUGGUCGAGUCGGCCUGCGCGGAAGAUGUAACGGGGCUAAACCAUGCACCGAAGCUGCGGCAGCGACACCGUGUGUUGUUGGGUAGGGGAGCGUUCUGUAAGCCUGUGAAGGUGUGCUGUGAGGCAUGCUGGAGGUAUCAGAAGUGCGAAUGCUGACAUAAGUAACGAUAAAGCGGGUGAAAAGCCCGCUCGCCGGAAGACCAAGGGUUCCUGUCCAACGUUAAUCGGGGCAGGGUGAGUCGACCCCUAAGGCGAGGCCGAAAGGCGUAGUCGAUGGGAAACGGGUUAAUAUUCCCGUACUUGGUGUUACUGCGAAGGGGGGACGGAGAAGGCUAUGUUGGCCGGGCGACGGUUGUCCCGGUUUAAGCGUGUAGGUAUGUGUUCCAGGUAAAUCCGGUUCACUUUAACACUGAGGCGUGACGACGAGGCACUACGGUGCUGAAGCAACAAAUGCCCUGCUUCCAGGAAAAGCCUCUAAGCAUCAGGUAACAUCAAAUCGUACCCCAAACCGACACAGGUGGUCAGGUAGAGAAUACCAAGGCGCUUGAGAGAACUCGGGUGAAGGAACUAGGCAAAAUGGUGCCGUAACUUCGGGAGAAGGCACGCUGACACGUAGGUGAAGUGAUUUACUCACGGAGCUGAAGUCAGCCGAAGAUACCAGCUGGCUGCAACUGUUUAUUAAAAACACAGCACUGUGCAAACACGAAAGUGGACGUAUACGGUGUGACGCCUGCCCGGUGCCGGAAGGUUAAUUGAUGGGGUCAGCGCAAGCGAAGCUCCUGAUCGAAGCCCCGGUAAACGGCGGCCGUAACUAUAACGGUCCUAAGGUAGCGAAAUUCCUUGUCGGGUAAGUUCCGACCUGCACGAAUGGCGUAAUGAUGGCCAGGCUGUCUCCACCCGAGACUCAGUGAAAUUGAACUCGCUGUGAAGAUGCAGUGUACCCGCGGCAAGACGGAAAGACCCCGUGAACCUUUACUAUAGCUUGACACUGAACAUUGAGCCUUGAUGUGUAGGAUAGGUGGGAGGCUUUGAAGUGUGGACGCCAGUCUGCAUGGAGCCGACCUUGAAAUACCACCCUUUAAUGUUUGAUGUUCUAACGUGGACCCGUGAUCCGGGUUGCGGACAGUGUCUGGUGGGUAGUUUGACUGGGGCGGUCUCCUCCUAAAGAGUAACGGAGGAGCACGAAGGUUGGCUAAUCCUGGUCGGACAUCAGGAGGUUAGUGCAAUGGCAUAAGCCAGCUUGACUGCGAGCGUGACGGCGCGAGCAGGUGCGAAAGCAGGUCAUAGUGAUCCGGUGGUUCUGAAUGGAAGGGCCAUCGCUCAACGGAUAAAAGGUACUCCGGGGAUAACAGGCUGAUACCGCCCAAGAGUUCAUAUCGACGGCGG